rnacentral:rRNA from 1 species
AACGAACGCUGGCGGCAGGCUUAACACAUGCAAGUCGAACGCCCCGCAAGGGGAGUGGCAGACGGGUGAGUAACGCGUGGGAAUCUACCGUACCCUACGGAACAACCGUUGGAAACGACUGCUAAUACCGUAUACGCCCUACGGGGGAAAGAUUUAUCGGGGUAUGAUGAGCCGGCGUUGGAUGAGCUAGUUGGUGGGGUAAAGGCCUACCAAGGCGACGAUCCAUAGCUGGUCUGAGAGGAUGAUCAGCCACAUUGGGACUGAGACACGGCCCGAACUCCUACGGGAGGCAGCAGUGGGGAAUAUUGGACAAUGGGCGCAAGCCUGAUCCAGGCAUGCCGCGUGAGUGGUGAAGGUCUUAGGAUUGUAAAGCUCUUUCACCGAUGAAGAUAAUGACGGUAGUCGGAGAAGAAGCCCCGGCUAACUUCGUGCCAGCCGCCGCGGUAA